AAUCCCGGAAGGACGACCAGUGGCGAAAGCGUUUAACUAGAACGAAUCUGACGGUAAGGAACCGAAGGCUAGGGUAGCAAACCGGAUUAGAUACCCGGGUAGUCCUAGCUGUAAACAUUGCCCAUUUGAUGUUGCUUUUCCGUUGAGGGAAGGCAGUGUCGGAGCGAAGGUGUUAAAUGGGCCGCUUGGGAAGUAUGGUCGCAAGACUGAAACUUAAAGGAAUUGGCGGGGGAGCACCGCAACGGGAGGAAUGUGCGGUUUAAUUGGAUUCAACGCCGGAAAACUCACCGGGAACGACCUGUGCAUGAGAGUCAACCUGACGAGCUUACUCGAUAGCAGGAGAGGUGGUGCAUGGCCGUCGUCAGCUCGUACCGUAGGGCGUUCACUUAAGUGUGAUAACGAGCGAGACCCACAUCUUUAAUUGCAAAUGUAUAUGAGAAUAUGCAUGCACUUUAGAGAAACCGCCAGCGCUAAGCUGGAGGAAGGAGUGGUCGACGGCAGGUCAGUACGCCCCGAAUUUCCCGGGCUACACGCGCAUUACAAAGAACGGGACAAUACGUUGCAACCUCGAAAGAGGAAGCUAAUCGCGAAACCCGUCCAUAGUUAGGAUUGAGGGCUGUAACUCGCCCUCAUGAAUCUGGAUUCCGUAGUAAUCGCGGGUCAACAACCCGCG
rnacentral:rRNA from 1 species